rnacentral:lncRNA from 1 species
ACUUCACAGCCCUUCGGGAGACACAGUAAUACCCUGCUCCCCAAAUAACUGGAAUUGUUUAAAAGUACCAGCAAGAAUUCAGAUCAGCAAGUUCUACUAGUCAAGGGAUGGAGCUAGGGCCAGUGGAAGCAGGGGACUAGGGCUGGGGAGAACCAGUCCAGGUGUGGGAUUUGGUGGGAGAAGGUGAAAGAUCCCAACCUUGGUCUGGGGAGCAGAUUUUGACAGAGACAGGACCAGAUAGACUGAAACAUAGCAGGAGGGGAGUGUGUGUGUGUGUGUGUGUGGGGGGGGGAUUCACCUACUCUGUCACCCGGAGAAGUCGCUCACUAGAUGCUAGGGAUGUGGGAUGGAGCAGGGCCAUACAAGGGCUGGCAGGGACUCAACAUGUGUGAGUGCAUGGGUGCUAGUGUGCGUGUGCAUGUAUGUGUGGGUGUGUGUUAGCAUACGUCUGGGUGUGCUAGUGUGUGUGCAUGUGUAUGUACAUGUGUGUGUUAGCAUAUGCAUGUGGGUGCAUGGGUGCUAGUGUGCGUGUGCAUGUGUGUGUUAGCAGAGACGAGUCUUUGUUUGUGGCUUCUCCUUUUGUGCAUGCUUUUCUCGAUGCCUACACAUGCCUGGGUGUCCGCAUGUACAUGCAUGCACACAAGAUGCGUUUAGCUCUGCACAGGUGGACCCAGGCCUGGAAUCUAAUGUAAGCACAGCUUUCCCAGUCCUUAGCCCUAUAAGGCCAGAGUGUUCGCUCUUUCAUCUGUCUCUUCCUUCACUCACCCAGUGCCCGGCUCUGCUCUCUGCUAUGAGCUCAGAGUCAGAGGAUUCGUCCUCUAAAGAGGUGCACACAUCCUGCAGGACGAGGCAGGCUUUACACCUACGAG